ACCAACUGUCUGCUAUGUACGGUAGGUGUAGGACCUAGCAGGAGGAUAGUUACAUAAUCUAUGAAAACCAACUGUCUGCUAUGUACGGUAGGUGUAGGACCUAGCAGGAGGAUAAUUACAUAAUCUAUGAAAACCAACUGUCUGCUAUGUACUGUAGGUGUAGGACUUAGUAGGAGCUUAAACUUCAU